ACCAGGCUCCUGCGAACAAGAAAGGCAUGUGGUGCUGGCAUAACCUAGCUGAAGGCUGCGGGAGAGAAGACAGACAUGGUGUGGCACCCCGGCAGGGAUAGUGAAGGUGCCAUUGAAAUGUUUGUUUCCCUGGAAGAACAGUGGGGUAGAGAGAACCCAGGAGGCAGCUGGGGAGGAGCAUUUGAUCACUAGUGCCUCCUUUGACAGGUCAUCAGAUCAGACUUGCAUCCUCAUGCUUGCUUGGCAAGCGCGUCGACCUUAGGAGCCAUUUUCCAGGUUCCUGGUGACUGAUUUGAAAUAAAGCCUCUGC